rnacentral:rRNA from 1 species
UACAGAGGUCCCAAGCGUUGUUCGGAUUCACUGGGCGUAAAGGGUGCGUAGGUGGUGAGGUAAGUCGGAUGUGAAAUCUCGGAGCUCAACUCCGAAAUGGCAUUGGAAACUACCCUGCUAGAGGAUUGGAGGGGGGACUGGAAUACUUGGUGUAGCAGUGAAAUGCGUAGAUAUCAAGUGGAACACCAGUGGCGAAGGCGAGUCCCUGGACAAUACCUGACACUGAGGCACGAAAGCUAGGGGAGCAAACAGG